rnacentral:rRNA from 1 species
GAUGAACGCUGGCGGCGUGCCUAAUACAUGCAAGUCGAGCGAACGGACGAGAAGCUUGCUUCUCUUAUGUUAGCGGCUGACGGGUGAGUAACACGUGGAUAACCUACCUAUAAGACUGGGAUAACUUCGGGAAACCGGAGCUAAUACCGGAUAAUAAUUUUAACCGCAUGGUUCAAAAGUUAAAGACGGACUUGCUGUCACUUAUAGAUGGAUCCGCGCUGCAUUAGCUAGUGGGUAAGGUAACGGCUUACCAAGGCAACGAUGGUUAGCCGAACUGAGAGGGUGAUCGGCAACAUGGGACCGGGGACACGGUCCAGCCCCCUACGGGAGGAACAAGGAGGGAAUCUUCGGCAAUGGGCGAAAGCCUGCCGGAGAAACGCCGCGUGAGUGAUGAAGGUUUUCGGAUCGUAAAACUCUGUUAUUAGGGAAGAAAAUAUGUGUAAGUAACUGUGCACAUAUUGACGGUACCUAAUCAGAAAGCCACGGCUAACUACGUG